UGAGCAAUCUGCCCUUCUCAUCGGAAUAAGCGUUGGAAACGACGUCUAAUGCCGAAUACGACCUCCUUUCACAUGAUCGGAGGUGGAAAGCUCCGGCGGAGAAGGAUGAGCUCGCGGCCUAUCAGCUAGUUGGUGUGGGUAACGCCCACCAAGGCGACGACGGGUAGCCGGCCUGAGAGGAUGACCGGCCACACUGGGACUGAGACACGGCCCAGACUCCUACGGGAGCAG
rnacentral:rRNA from 1 species